UUGUGGGGACACGGGUGGAAAGCCUGACCCGGGAAUGGAAAGACCGGGACAAGCGAGGUACCUGAUAAGGAGGCAAACCCCCUUAUCAAUGGGAAGACGUGAUGUGGAGCGAACCAAAGGGUAGCGAAGCAGGUGAGCCAGCCGUCGAGAAAAGCCGCUAUUGUUUUGUACGGACCCGUACCGUAAACCGACACAGGUGGAUGAGGAGAGAAUCCUAAGGCCGACGGGAGAAGCAUUGUUAAGGAACUCGGCAAAAUGACCCCGUAACUUCGGGAGAAGGGGUGCCUGAGGAAUCAGGCCGCAGAGAAUAGGUCCAAGCAACUGUUUAGCAAAAACACUGGUCUAUGCGAAACCGAAAGGUGAAGUAUAUGGGCUGACGCCUGCCCGGUGCUGGAAGGUUACGAGGAGUGCUUAGAGGCUUGCCUCGAAGGUGCGAAUUUAAGCCCCAGUAAACGGCGGCCGUAACUAUAACGGUCCUAAGGUAGCGAAAUUCCUUGUCGGGUAAGUUCCGACCCGCACGAAAGGCGUAAUGAUUUGGACGCUGUCUCGACAAUGCACCCGGUGAAAUUGAAAUACCAGUGAAGAUGCUGGUUACCCGCGCCAGGACGGAAAGACCCCAUGGAGCUUUACUCUAGUUUGAUACUGGGAUUCGGUACUGCAUGUACAGGAUAGGUGGGAGACUGUGAAUCUGUGACGCCAGUUGCAGAGGAGUCAAUGUUGGGAUACCACCCUUGUAGUAUUGGAUUUCUAACCAACAGCCGUGAACCGGCUGGGGGACAAUGUCAGGCGGGGAGUUUGACUGGGGCGGUCGCCUCCGAAAGGGUAUCGGAGGCGCUCAAAGGUUCCCUCAGAAUGGUCGGAAACCAUUCGAAGAGUGCAAAGGCAGAAGGGAGCUUGACUGCGACACCGACGGGUGGAGCAGGUAGGAAACUAGGACUUAGUGAUCCGGUGGUAUGAAAGUGGGAUUGCCAUCGCUCACCGGAUAAAAGCUACCCUGGGAUAACAGGCUUAUCACUCCCAAGAGUUCACAUCGACGGAGUGGUUUGGCACCUCGAUGUCGGCUCAUCGCAUCCUGGGGCUGUAGUAGGUCCCAAGGGUUGGGCUGUUCGCCCAUUAAAGCGGUACGCGAGCUGGGUUCAGAACGUCGUGAGACAGUUCGGUCCCUAUCCGGCGCGGGCGUAGGAUAUUUGAGAGGAGCUGCCCUUAGUACGAGAGGACCGGGGUGGACUGGCCUCUGGUGUACCGGUUGUAUUACCAAAUGCAUAGCCGGGUAGCCAAGCCGGGACGGGAUAAACGCUGAAGGCAUCUAAGCGUGAAGCCCCCCUCAAGAUAAGAUAUCCCUGACAAUAAGUCAAUAAGACCCCUUGAAGACGACGAGGUAGAUAGGUCCGAGGUGGAAGUGCAGUAAUGUAUGGAGCUGACGGAUACUAAUAGGUCGAAGGCUUGAUC
rnacentral:rRNA from 1 species